GUUGGUUGCACUGUCUCCAUGAAGGGGUGGGGGGUUCCCCACCUGCCAGGACACCUGGGCUGGGUUUGGCUCGGCUCUUGGGGCCAUGGCUAGAGAUACCUGCCCUGACAGGCAAGAACCUGUCCAAGCGUCGAGAGGGCAAAGCAAAGGCAGCGGCUCCAGGGAGCACCAAAGGAGGGGCCCAGCCGUUGAAUGUUUAAGAAAUGACAGUAACGCCUGCCCAGAGCGACCGCUCAUGGAAGUUGGCAGAAGUGGUGGCUUGGAGGAGGUGGUGUCUCUGCAAAGCAGUUUUUGGCUACUCGGAUAAAGGAGAGGCGUGAGGAGCCUCGGGAACAGGACAGAGAGGAGCGAGCAGCGGCCAGGGAGGCCUUGUGGGAAGAGGCAAAGGCAGGACAGGGCCACAGAGGAAGAAGCCGAGAGGGAGCAGGUCCUCCAGGUGGAGCACGGCCAGAGCACGGGUGGGGCCACGGUCCAGGUGCUGGUACCGCCCCUUUCGCGGGACCUUCCAAGACCAGCCCGGCCGGUCUCCAGAGAGAGAGACGCCCCAUCCAGCAUUUCCUGCCACCCACAUCUGCAUCGCCUCAUCUUCCCUCCAGUGCACCCACUGCCCCACAUCCCCCAGGGGCGGAUUACUGCA